AGGAAGGAGUCACUGGCUCCACCUGACCACCUUGUUCCUCGCACUCUCAUCAUCCUCCGUAAUACUGCUUCCAUCUCUGCUCGGCUCCCAAGGACGAUAGCAGACACAACUUCUGCCCAUUAAUGAUGGCUAAAAUCGCAAGAGAGCAGCUCAAGGGUUAACAAAAACCAACUAAUAAUAUCAGGGGUUUCGCGGCCUGAUGAGGGUAUCGACAUCAUAAAACCAAAACACGCCGAGUCCCUGAUGAAGGUAAUGCCAUCAUCAAUUAAUGCAUUUUUAAAAAUCCCAUUUAUUGUCCGAAUAUUAUGGGACUGGUUUUAAAUGUGCCCCUUUAUAUUGUGAACAGUUUGAUAGCAAAAUGAAUGACGUAGCAUGAAAAUUGAGGUUAGAAAGCUGAAAAGAGUACAGUUCAUCCUCACUAACGAACCCCGUUCUAGCGAAUUCCCAGAAGAUCCGAACAAAUUGAAUUAGGUACUAAAUGUUCAGUGGAACAUACAAAUGUUUGAUUAAGCGAAGAUUGUUCAUCCAAGCAGUCACCGAGACCGAGCGUCGGAGGUGGCUGUCAUCAUCUAUGAUUCGCCAAAGUGUAAACAGUUAUACAGUGUUUUAUUAUGCUUACCCAUUGUUUCUAGGGAUAAAUGGUUGAAGGAUGAUAAAAUGGUAUCAAGGGUCAUUGGUGAGAGUUGUUGU